GAACGAAAAGCCUCAAGUAAACAACACCAUGAGAAGAGCUCUACUAGUUCUAAACUGCAUCCUCUUAACUAUAGGAAACUGCGGUGGCCCUCUCAUAUUGCGCCUCUACUUCUUGCAUGGAGGCAAGCGUGUUUGGCUCUCUAGCUGGCUUGAAACGGGCGGUUGGCCACUUAUUUUUAUCCCCCUUUUCAUAAGCUACCUAUAUCGCCGCCGAUCCAACGAACCAACCGCUAAACUCUUCUACAUGAAUCGUUUUCUGUUCAUCGCCGCCACCGUCAUCGGUGUACUUACCGGCUUGGAUGACUAUCUUUACGCUUAUGGAGUAGCCCGUCUUCCAGUUUCAACAUCUUCUUUGAUCAUUGCUUCCCAGUUGGCGUUCACUGCAGGUUUUGCGUUUCUUUUGGUUAAACAAAAAUUUAAUUUUUUUUCAAUAAACGCGGUGAUUUUGUUGAGUGUUGGGGCUGGUGUCUUGGCCUUGCAUACGAGCAGUGAUCGGCCGGAACAUGAAUCCAACAGAGAGUAUAUUUUAGGGUUUGUUAUGACGUUAGGAGCUGCACUUUUGUAUGGAUUUAUCUUGCCAUCGGUAGAGUGGACAUACAAGAAGUCGAAGCAGGAAAUUAGCUAUACCCUUGUGAUGGAGAUUCAGCUGGUGAUGUGUCUGUUUGCUACUGUCUUUUGCACCGUUGGGAUGCUGGUUAACAAAGACUUCAAGGUGAUUCCAAGGGAAGCAAGAGAAUUCGGGCUUGGAGAAACAAGGUAUUAUGUGAUAUUAGUGUGGAGUGCAAUCAUCUGGCAGUGUUUCUUCUUGGGAGUCAUAGGAGUCAUCUUUUGUGCUUCCUCUUUAUUAUCAGGCG
rnacentral:misc_RNA from 1 species